GUCACGGAGGUUCUCCAUUCUGGCCCUCACAUUCUUCAGUUUAUCGAGAGCCUUCUCGCUCUCCUUGAACUUCGCGUCGAGCUGAUUAUAUUUCUCUUGUAUUCGCUCGACGUCAUGGAUAGAGUCUCCAUGAUAACACGCAUGUGCCAUGUAGCAUGCGGCAUUCAAAUGCGUCAGUAGUUCGCUCCUGCACCAAGUCCCAGGGUGACCUAAGAGGAGUGACAUCGCUUCCCUUCUAGUCUCAGCACUAGCCAUAAAGUCAGGGAGCGUCACCCCAGCAGAAGUGUAAGGCACAUAGCCCUUGGGAGGUCCUGGUGCAGAGCGGGAGCUCGAACCAUGCUCAAAAGUCCUUCGAGGCUCGCUGCG
rnacentral:lncRNA from 1 species